UCACCUUUAUUCGGUCUUCUACAGCCGAC
rnacentral:sRNA from 1 species